rnacentral:lncRNA from 1 species
CAACUCUCCUUCACUCAUCACAACGUCUCUAUGGUAGUGUUUUAGUUCAGACGAGGAGCACACUCCUGAGGUGACUCUCCCAAACAUCACCGCUCGCCGUGCUUUGGUUUACGCCACAGAGCAGAAAGCCACUGGGAGAGCUGGGCUCCCCUCAGGUGAAACUGAAGGGAGGUUCUCCAGCCACAGGUGAGCACUCACUGUAUGGCACCAGACCUGAGCUAAUUUGAUGUAAACUUCCCUGAAACACCCACAGUGUAGAAUUCAGGCCUUUAGCACACAUGUUUUGCUUUGCAGAGCUGCUCCAAACGGGCUGCAUGACUUGCUGAAAAAGAUACGGAACUUGCUCAGUGUAAUAAAAGAGUCAUGGGAAAAGCAGAAGCAGAGGAAACAAAGCAAAGAAGAGGCACUUUACCCAAGAGAGAACCAAUCCAUUAUUGGAGGAAGAUGUUCUGACCCCAUUAGCUGGGCAGACGUGUGUUUGAACUACAGACCUCUGAGCAUCCUCAAUCUGAGAUGAGCUGGCGCAGGCUACUGCAUUGAGAAGGGGGCCUCCUCCAAGACCCCUUUGCGUGCUGCUCUGUACCAUUUGGGCAGGUGCCAAAUGCACACUGCAACAGGCGGCUGAGAGAUCAUUAUGCCCAAAAGGUGAUUAAAAUAGUGAGCAUAAGGGUAUGUAGAUAAAUAAUAAAAAAAGCCUGGGAAGAGUUACUUUGGACA